rnacentral:lncRNA from 1 species
GAAGCCUCUAGAAACAGCCUCAGCUCCCCACGGCCUGAUGUCUAUGCAGCCCUGUGCAGGGGAAAAGGACACACGUUUCCUGUACGUGAAGGGCAGGGCACCAAGCAGAGGCUGGUGUGGAAACCUUGGGAGAGUUCCUGUGUUUCCCUGAGAGCUCACAGAGCUUGGUUUCCAGUGCCACCUCCUCCCCUCCUCUGAUGGAGGUAUGAGAUUUGUUAGAAGGUUCCCAUGCAGUGUAUGUGUUAUUUUCAGAUCCUUCUUUUCACAGUUUGGCCCCCAUCUCAGUCAGGGUGCACUCUCCUUUCCACGUGGUAGUAGCCCUGACACGAAGGAAGCUGAAACAUUUGCAUCACUGAGAUUUUAAUUUGCUAGUUCUAGCUAAGGCUUGCUCUCUUCUACCCCUCCCUCUGCACCUCAGAAACAUACAGGCCAUAAGCAGGCAGUGGAGUCUGUCAUCACCAGCACUGAGGCUCUGCUGGGCACUGGGUGCUCUCCUCCACCAUUUCAGCACAGUGCACUGAUACCCUGGAGACCUGCUACAGGUUGUGUUUGUGCUCAGGGAGUUGCCUGCUCCUUGGGUCUCCAGUUAAAAAGCAAGCACGUACCUGGCAGAGUGUUUGCUCUAUUUUUCCUUCUCGUCACUGCUCUGUUCUCAGCCUGCCCAGCAAGCCCAGAGCUCCCAUCAUAGCCAUCGUCAUGUUCUGGAGACACCUACACGCUGUGGAAGAGAUGGUCACUCACAAAUCUCUGACAGAACUUUGCCACUUUCUGUGUCCUUAACCUUCCCUCCACCACAUAGCAACAGCACAGCAGAAGUAAUACAAUUCCUCGCUGCAGAGCAGUGGACAAGGCCAAAAAUGCCCCAGGCCAGUGACUACAAAGAUGAUGACAGCACAUUUUCAGUUCCUCUUCCAUCUUGGCUGCUGAGCCCUUGGGCCUUUCUGGGGAGCUGGGCCCAGUCUAUAACAGCUGCUCCCUGCCCUUCCAUCAAGUAACCCUGAUCAGCUAGAGAUCAGAAGGUAUAACUAAGUUAUGGGACACGGCUUGUUCCCCUGCACAUGUGGAAAAAAUUCAUCUGGAGAGGUAAGGUGCAGGAGGGAGAUUAUCUCUUAUGACUGGCCCUGGAGAAGGUAAAGCCCCAACAGCCACCAGGGAGGUAUGUUGGGGAGCACCUAGAGCAAAAACCUGGAUUCCAGAACAGUGUGGUUACAAACCAGAACGUUUCCCAGGAAGAAGUAUCCUAUCUGGAAUAGCAGUAAUAUGACUAAACAGCUCUCUCUCCUCCUCAGUCCAUUUGCCUCAUCCACAUCUUGGCUACCUCAACCAUGGAUGAAAGGGAAGGAGGAGGAAGAUGUCUUGGACAGAUCUUUUAAAGCAUCUCCAAGCAUGCAACCUCUCGGGAGAAGGAAGGCUGGCAGGGCACAAAAGCACAGAUCUGAGAGCAACUAGAAAACCUUUGCAAAGGAACUGGGCUCAUUAACAGCUGCUGAACAGACAUGAAGGGAGGGGCAGGGUU